rnacentral:rRNA from 1 species
UCGAACGGCAGCGCGGGAGCAAUCCUGGCGGCGAGUGGCGAACGGGUGAGUAAUACAUCGGAACGUGCCCAAUCGUGGGGGAUAACGCAGCGAAAGCUGUGCUAAUACCGCAUACGAUCUACGGAUGAAAGCAGGGGAUCGCAAGACCUUGCGCGAAUGGAGCGGCCGAUGGCAGAUUAGGUAGUUGGUGAGGUAAAGGCUCACCAAGCCUUCGAUCUGUAGCUGGUCUGAGAGGACGACCAGCCACACUGGGACUGAGACACGGCCCAGACUCCUACGGGAGGCAGCAGUGGGGAAUUUUGGACAAUGGGCGAAAGCCUGAUCCAGCCAUGCCGCGUGCAGGAUGAAGGCCUUCGGGUUGUAAACUGCUUUUGUACGGAACGAAACGGCCUUUUCUAAUAAAGAGGGCUAAUGACGGUACCGUAAGAAUAAGCACCGGCUAACUACGUGCCAGCAGCCGCGGUAAUACGUAGGGUGCAAGCGUUAAUCGGAAUUACUGGGCGUAAAGCGUGCGCAGGCGGUAAUGUAAGACAGUUGUGAAAUCCCCGGGCUCAACCUGGGAACUGCAUCUGUGACUGCAUUGCUGGAGUACGGCAGAAGGGGGAUGGAAUUCCGCGUGUAGCAUGAAAUGCGUAGAUAUGCGGAGGAACACCGAUGGCGAAGGCAAUCCCCUGGGCCUGUACUGACGCUCAUGCACG